rnacentral:rRNA from 1 species
UACGGAGGGUGCAAGCGUUGUCCGGAAUCACUGGGCGUAAAGGGCGCGUAGGCGGCUCGGUAAGUAGGGGGUGAAAUCCUGCGGCUUAACCGCAGGGCUGCCUUCUAAACUGUCGAGCUCGAGCACGGUAGAGGCAGAUGGAAUUCCCGGUGUAGCGGUGGAAUGCGUAGAGAUCGGGAAGAACAUCAGUGGCGAAGGCGGUCUGCUGGGCCGUUGCUGACGCUGAGGCGCGACAGCGUGGGGAGCAAAGACGAUGAGU